AACGAACGCUGGCGGCAGGCCUAACACAUGCAAGUCGAGCGCGCCCUUCGGGGCGAGCGGCGGACGGGUUAGUAACGCGUGGGAACGUGCCCAAAGGUAGGGAACAACAGCUGGAAACGGCUGCUAAUACCCUAUGUGCCCUACGGGGGAAAGAUUUAUCGCCUUUGGAUCGGCCCGCGUCGGAUUAGCUAGUUGGUGAGGUAACGGCUCACCAAGGCUUCGAUCCGUAGCUGGUUUGAGAGGAUGAUCAGCAACACUGGGACUGAGACACGGCCCAGACUCCUACGGGAGGCAGCAGUGGGGAAUCUUGGACAAUGGGGGCAACCCUGAUCCAGCCAUGCCGCGUGAGCGAUGAAGGCCUUAGGGUUGUAAAGCUCUUUCACCGGUGAAGAUAAUGACGGUAGCCGGAGAAGAAGCCCCGGCUAACUCCG
rnacentral:rRNA from 1 species